rnacentral:rRNA from 1 species
UACGUAGGGGGCAAGCGUUGUCCGGAUUUAUUGGGCGUAAGCGCACGCAGGCGGUCUCUUAAGUUUCGAGUGACAGGUCAGGGCUUAACCCUGGCAGGCCUUGGAAAACUGGGGGACUUGAGGGCUUCAGAGGGACGCGGAAUUCCAGGUGGAGCGGUGAAAUGCGUAGAUAUCGAGAGGAACACCUGCGGCGAAGGCGGGUUGCUGGGCUGACACU